CGUAAGCCUCCUAUAGAACAGUUCAAGACUUCGAGCCUUCAGAGUGUUCUCUUCGGCUGUGAGCUAACAAGAGUGAAGCUAGUAGGCUCCCCCCGAAACUACAGGAGCUUCAUUUGGCUGAAAUUGGAAAAGGUUAAAACUUUUCGGAUAAAGGCGAAUGUAGAAGUUAUAUACCAACCAUCUGUAGAGAUAGCUAGGUAAAACUGAAAGACUAAAGUCUGCUAUUAAGAAAUAGUUCUAUCUUCGGGACAGCUGAAGAUAGUAUCGCAAGAUCUGACAAAAAUUGUAUUUAUUUAGGCUUAAAAGUAGCCUUAAGGUGUGAAAACUAUGACUUUUUGAUUAAAAAAGCAAUACAACGAGAAAGUAUGUUUUAGUAAUUAGGUUAGCAUGAGUAACUAAUGGAGCACUUAAGAUAGGAAAGAUGUCUACCUCAAAUCAAGUGUAAAAGAAGCGUUAGGGAACUGGGUAGAGGUUAGAAUGUUUACUAAAUGCUUGGCUAAGUGAUACUUAUACUUAGCCAAUUUUGGAUCUAUGAAAAUUUUUUAAUCUUUCCGAAAGGAUUUCUAGGCCCUUUUAAUUGGAGAGGCCAGAAGGAUAAACUGACCUUACCGUCCCUACGUUUUUAAGGGAAAUUACGAGUAUGAUAAAAAAGUUAUACAGUUUAAGAAAGACGAGAAGACCCCGGGUGGUUUAUUCAGAGAAAGCCGGGUUCAGUUUUCUAAGAAUUUUGCUGGGGUGGUACCUGUUGAAAGACAACACAAUGGAAAGUUAAGGUUGGAGAAAUCUAAAGUUACAAUAACUUGACGGAGGUCAAAAUAAAGAAUAACCAACCCCGGGGAUAACAGCGCUAUAGGCUAAGAAAGUCCAUAUUAAAUAGUCUGUUUACGACCUCGAUGUCGCCUUAGGAUUGCUCAGUGGUGCAGCUGCUACAAGAGUUUGUUUGCCACUCAAUUGAAAUCCUACGUGAGUUGGGUUGAGAGCGGGGAGACCUAGUUCGGUUUUUAUCUUCGUUACACAGUCUCUUUAGUACGAAAGGAAAAAUUGACCUAAAUUAUUUUU
rnacentral:rRNA from 1 species